AUUGAACGCUGGCGGCAGGCUUAACACAUGCAAGUCGAGCGGAGAGAGGUAGCUUGCUACUGAUCUUAGCGGCGGACGGGUGAGUAAUGCUUAGGAAUCUGCCUAUUAGUGGGGGACAACAUUUCGAAAGGAAUGCUAAUACCGCAUACGUCCUACGGGAGAAAGCAGGGGAUCUUCGGACCUUGCGCUAAUAGAUGAGCCUAAGUCGGAUUAGCUAGUUGGUGGGGUAAAGGCCUACCAAGGCGACGAUCGGUAGCGGGUCUGAGAGGAUGAUCCGCCACACUGGGACUGAGACACGGCCCAGACUCCUACGGGAGGCAGAAGUGGGGAAUAUUGGACAAUGGGGGGAACCCUGAUCCAGCCAUGCCGCGUGUGUGAAGAAGGCCUUAUGGUUGUAAAGCACUUUAAGCGAGGAGGAGGCUCUUUUGGUUAAUACCCAAGAUGAGUGGACGUUACUCGCAGAAUAAGCACCGGCUAACUCUGUGCCAGCCGCCGCCGUAAAAC
rnacentral:rRNA from 1 species